GCCAAGAGCUUCUUCUGGUCUCCAGUGCAGCUGCAGGAACCUAAGCACUUCAGUUGUUUUCCACUGCUUUCCCAGCCCUUAAACAGGGAACUGGAUUGGAAGAGGAUCAGUGGGGCUAUGAACUGGCGCCAUAGGCACAGGCUUAGUCUACAACGCCACUGCUCCAGCCCCUGUAAUUUGUACUUUUAUUCAACAUUGCAUGAACAAUAUUUACCCCACUAAAAAUAAGCUGCAAAGUCAUAGUAAUAAGCUGUACAGAUGCAUUAGAAUUUAUUUAAUCUGGCUGUUCCUACAGAAUGCCUGUUUUUCCUUUGCCUCAGUUUUUGGUUAUUAUAAUAUAUAAUGCUGAAAUCAAUAUACUUUCCUAUAAAUGUAUGGCAUGGUGGGUCAAACCGCCAGCUGCAAUGCGGGGCAUCCCAUAUUGGUGCUGGUUAACAUCCUUGCUGCUCCACUCUCAAUCCAGAUUUCUGCUAAUGGCCUAAGAAAAGCAGAGCAAGAUGGCCCAAAUGCUUGGGCCCCUGCCACUCACUUGGGACACUGGAUUAAACUCCUGGCUUUGCACUGGCCCAGGCUUGACUUGUAGCAGCCGUUUUGGGAGUGAACUGGCAGAUAGAAACUCUAUCUCACUGUACUGCUUUGUAAUUCUGGCUUUCAAGUGAAUAAAUUUUUAAAAGAAAAAAUAAAAACCACAUGCAAAUUGUACAUGUUUAUAAGGCAGUAUGUAAUGGUUAAACAAAAUCCUUAAUGCCAAGUCAUUGGAAGGAAUGUUUCUCACAUCAAUUUUGCUGUCUUUUUAUCUUGCCUGUGGAUUUUGUUUAAACUUUGUGUAGUCAAGGUUAUCAGUCAUUUCCUCUCUUCUGAGCUAAAGCCCAAAAUACCUUCUGACAGGAUCACAUCAGUUGUGCGAGUCCCUCUAGGGCUCAGUUCCACAGCCCAGGCCGCCCGCCCACAGGACUUUCUGGUCCAUGAGGCUACGCGGCUCUAGGCGCCCCUGACAGGCUGCUCUGGUGAGAUCCAGCUCAGACCCGGGGACUGGCCCGCGUGGCCGAGGUCACGAGGGAGGUGCCCCCUCAGGGAGCCGGCCCUCGUGCAGUUGGGGGCAGUUGCGCUGGAGAGAGCUCCAAGGCAGAUGACCAGGGCCUCGCGGGAUGUCCCCUACUUGUUGAGCGAGGUGGACGUGGUCCAGGUCCGUGCACCUUUGAGCUCCUGUCAGUUGGUCAGCUCUGUCCCAUGUGCGUUAGCGCCAAUUGUCAAGCGCCCCCCAUCGUCCACUUUUAUAUCAUCUAAUGAGAAACCUACAGAGGCAGAACCUGCAGCUAUGGAGAGUUGACUGUAUUGUUCAAAACCUGUAGCCCUCAUCAAACAGAAUGUCGAAGUCUCCCAGAUGUGAAAUUACAGCUAUAUAGGUUACUCACUGCUCCCCAACUCCUUGGGUAAUUGGGAAGCCAGGACCUGAAAUCUGUGACUACUGAUGAGCAGCGAUUCAUCUGGCGUCCAGCAGGGGGGCAGCAGGCAAAAAGUCAACAAUUGUGAGCGUCCUGCACCGUGGGCAAGCGGCCUGGAGGUGGUGCCCAAAAGCCCCUUGGCUGUGCUGUUCCUGCCGAAGGAUGUUGAAGCAUCCUGGACCCAAGGAUAUAUCCAUGCAAGUAAAGGGACAACUUUCUCUAUAUCUAGACUCAUAAAAGCAUGUGAAAAUCAACUAGUACUGGGUGACAAGAAUGUAAUGUCAAAGCUACCAGAAGACUGAUGAGGCGCAUGUGGCUGAAGUUGUGUCUCCUCCUGUAUGGUUCAAGUUUCUGAUGGCUUGGGAAACUCCAGCUCCUCUGCGUCCCAGGACUCCACACUGCAGUCUCCUAAGUUGCUAAAAGUUUCUGCAAAGAUGAAACAGAUAAGGCGACACAUGGCUCCUUGCAGAGCGAGGACUGGACACUGAACAUGGAGAUCUGUGACAUCAUCAGUGAGACCGAGGAAGGGUACGUGUGCCUUGGGCCAGGGGCCUCUCUCAAGCCCUUGGCGUCUUUUUUUUUUUUUAGUCUGUUACUUUUGGCAUUAAAAAAUUUUUUUUUUAGUUUACUUAGCAAUAGAGAGAUGGGUAUAGGGGAGGUGGGGGGGUCUUCCAUUUGGUUUGCUCCCCAAAUGCCUGCAACAGCCAGGGCUAAGCCAGGCCAAAGCCAGGAGCCUGGAAUUCCAUCUGGGUCUCCCACAUGAGUGGCGGCGGGGAGGGGGGUGGGCCAAGCACUUGAACCAUCACCCACUGCCUCCCACAGUGCAUGUUCGUCUCCCAGGGUGCGUAUUAGCAGGAAGCUGGAUGGGAAACGGAGGUGGGACUCAACCCCAAGUGCUCCGAUGGGAGAUACAGCUUGCCCUGCUGCUCCACGGUGCCUGCCCCACUGUUACUCCUAAUUGCGUGUCGUUUUCCCAUCCAUCCUUCUCCCAGCUUCCCCGAUGACAGUGCUCAAGGUGGAGCAGUGGUGACCACUUUUAAUCCCAAGUGGGGAAGGAACUACCUGGUUCCCUGUCCCUGGUGGCGUCUCUUUCUGCCCCUCCUGCCUGUCCCCUGCCGCACCUUGGCAGCCGUGGGGCUGUCUCUGCCCUGGUUUGCUGGGUGACAGGGCCUCUUGAGGGAGGGCCAGGGCAUGGUCAGAUAAGGCAGGGAAUGAGGGGGCACACAUGGCACAGGCCACUGAGCGUUUCCAGCUGUGUAGACUCAGCCCGUAGGGUUGCGUCUCACGUUCCCACACUGCUGGAUCUCCCAGGUUGCAGGCUGUAGCCUCCCCUUCACUCUGUUUGUCCUGUGGUUAGCCCCUCUGCCCACCCCAUGGACACUUUGCUGUCAUCACGCUCUGUGAACCACCUCCAGGGUGGUGAGGAGAACAGAUGGGAGAGGAGAGUCCCCAGGGGGCACCCAGAAGCACAGGCCGUGUCAGCACCAAAGUGACUCUGGCUCUGACUUCCGGUGAAGUCUGGCCAUGGCCCGGCCCUUGUCUCAAAGAGACCAUGCUGUCCGAUGCUGCAUUCAGAAUGGCCUGGCUGGAGGCAGGCCCCAUUCAGAAGCGAGAAAGACCAGGCGGGAUCUUAACGUCCUCAUCCUGGUGGGGGGCAGGGGUGGUGGCCUUGACCGAGGGGAUUCCGAUUCCAUUCUGGGUGCCUCUGGGAGGGAGAAGUCAGUUGGGGGCUUGCUGGUGUGGGAAGUGAGCAGAAAGUGCUGCACAGCCACAGCUGGAGCCACCACUUCCUAGGUGGAGCAGACCGGGGACGGAGCCGCCAGCUAAGCUCACAGGGCAGACAGCAGCAUCAGGAGUGCACAGGGACCUGUGCUGUCUGUGAGCUGGUGGGGAGGGUUCCAGUUAAAGGUGACACACUUUGCCUGCCAGUGGGGGUGGUCUGCUCAGGGCCCAGGCACGUGGCCACUCACAGGUGGCUGCUGGUGCAGUCACUCGGCUCGGACUGCCCACCAUCCUCCUGACCUCCCACUUGGGAUGUUUUCUUCCUCAUGGCCCCUGGGGAUCAGCGGAUGGGGGGGUAUAAGGGCUCUAGGACACCAAGGUUAAUGGGCUAGCCCACCCUCAAGCACCCCCUACUGGCUCAGAGGAAGAACAGGCUUUGGGCUGGGCCCCCAGGCUGACAGCAAGAAGAGUCCAGCCACUGAGGGUGACUCGAAAAAAGCCAGUGUGUCUCUGGGCUGAAUUCCUGGGUGAGCAGGCAGUCCAGGUGUGUGGCUCUCUGACUUCCAUGCCUCCCCCUAUGGGCCCACGUCUCUUUCUGCCCCCUUUCUGAUCUUCUGGGGAAAUGCGCAAAUACCCAGAAGGCUCUGGGCCAAGGAAACCCAGGGCCCCGGGACCUGCCUCAUGCCAGAGGAGCUGCCUGCACCCUUAGCUUCUUUUUUUUUCAAAUGCAAAAAUCCUGCCGAAACACCAAUUUGAACCCAGGAGCUUCUUCUGGGUCUCCCAUGCGGGUGCAGGAGCCCAAGGACUGGGGCCAUCUUCUACUGCUUUCCUAGGCCACAGCAGAGAGCUGGAUGGGAAGAGGAGUAGCCAGGACUCGAACUGGCACCCAUGUGAGAUGCCAGCACUGCAGGCUGAAACAUCUACAUGGAUGUUGGAGUCUGUCUUGUCCCACCACGCCCCAGUAGACUGUGAGCUACACCAGGGCAGGACUCCAUGCCUCAGCCACCUUUUUAGCCCUAGCACCUCUCACGGUCCAUCCAUAAUUGGCUGUGGAUAAAAACUGGUUCAGUAAGAGGAUCAGGUGGGGAAGGUGCUGAGGCACUCAAUCUGAUGAGGAACGCAGACCUGUAAAUGACAGUCACAGCUCAGCCUGGGCCGUGCUGAGAGAGCCAGCUGCAGGCACCGUGGAGAGGCCCCCCUUAGCUACAGAGAGCAGCCCACCCAGCAGCAGCUGACUGGCAGCAGCCAGAGGCUUCUUGGAGGAGGUGAUAGCGGAGUGGAGUCUUGUUGGAUACCAGCCAAAGAAUAUCACCCAGGAGGAACCCCUCUUGAGGACUGGUUUUUCUUUACUCUUACAGGGAUGAAAAGACCAUAUUAGGGCCGGCGCUGUGGCUCACUAGACUUAUCCUCUGCCUGCGGCACCAGCACCCUGGGUUCUAGUCCCAGUCGGGGCGCUGGAUUCUGUCCCGGUCGCUCCUCUUCCUGUCGCUCCUCUUCCUGUCUAGCUCUCUGCUAUGGCCCGGGAGUGCAGUAGAGGAUGGCCCAGGUGCUUGGACCCUGCACCCACAUGGGAGACCAGGAGAAGCACCUGGCUCCUGGCUUCGGAUCAGCGUGGUGAGCCAGCCGCAGUGCACCAGCCACAGCGGCCAUUGGAGGGUGAACCAACGGCAAAGGAAGACCUUUCUCUCUGUCUCUCUCUCCCACUGUCCACUCUGCCUGUCAAAAGAAAAAAAACCAUAUUGGACUCUGCCUCAUUGUGACUGGAGCAUCAUGGUACAUCAGGAGUGCUACUUUUAUGCUAAUCACUCUGGCAUCAUCCAGGACAAGAUCAAGACCCUCCAAGAAGACCUUGAAGCUCUAGUUACCUGUGGUCGGGCCUUGGGGGAUGGCUUCCUUAUCUCCUCCCCCUUGUGGGCCCCUUGCUCUCCAUUGUCCUUGUAAAUUUGUCUAAGAUCGCAUAGCUGCGCUCCAGUUAAUGGUGGUCCAACAACUAUAUGCCACUCUUCAACAACUGGGUUAUGCCGCUCUUUAAGCGCCAGAUUGGGAACCCUAUACAUCCGCCCACGGCCACUGCCAAGAUGUAAAGGUAUAAUACAUCAUACCCUAAGUUGCUGAGGUAGUAGCCAGUGAUGGGUAAGAUCCCCUGGGACAGGGGGGCGGAGCCAAGAUGGCGGAAUAGUGAGGGCGCGCACCGAUAGGCCGGGAAAAUUUAGUUUAAUAAAAGUAGAGUUACAGUAGCCUCAGAAAAAGGAUCAGGAAAAAAUUGCAGAGGAAACUCUUCUGCAUCAAGUGGCUGUGACUCGGAGGACCUACUGGGAGAACAAGGUCGCCCACCGGAGAACAAGGUCGCCCACCGCACGGAAGCCGAGCCGCGGGAGCGGCAGGGUCUGCGCGCCAGUGCAGGAAGGGGAGUGGAUGUCACACAGACACAAGCGGGGAGAGUUGGGACGCCCAGGGCUCCGAGUCCACACAUCGGCGCUGGAAGGGGAGGUGAGCUCAGUAACCCGAGACAUUGGCGGGGAAACCGCGGUCAGAAUCUAGAGGGGAGCGGGAAAGUGCACCAGACUCACUACUGGAGAGAAGGAAAAAAAGGUGGGGGGUUUCUCUCUCGACAAGGCUGCAAGGCCUGCAAGAGUUUGCAAGAGUUUGCAAGAGUUUGCAAGAGUUUGUAAGAGUUUGCAAGAGACAAAGAGCAGGCAACCUCUCUGGAUUUACAUAACAACAGGGGAGAGCUAAAGAACUGAGUCACUACAAUUCAGUAGCCUAGGCAACCCAGUGGGAGUCCAGAGGAGAAACAGAGCCUCCACAGACUCUGGGUAGAAGCCAGAGAUCGGAAGCUAAUUAUCAUUAAUUCUGCACAGCUGUGCGGUGCAGUAUUAUUCACCCCCUGAAUAAAUUAAAUAAAUAAAUAAAAAGAGAGAGAUUUACCACACAUAACCUGAGGGUGUCACCUUUGCACACCCGUAACCCGGAAGAACCAAGCAGAGCUCUCAGGCCACACCCAUCUCAAGCCUCCAAGGCUCCUCCAACAGCAGGCAGUCCACUUAAUACAGACAUAGUAUAAAAUAAAAAAAAAUUAAAAAAAAGAAACGCACAGUGACGAAAAAAGAAUUAAAUAUGCCAAUCAACAAACACAAAAAUCGAGGGAACAAGAUCAACGAUGACACUAUGAUGCCUCCAAAUAAACAAAACACCCCAAGCCAAGAUUAUGAAGAUGAUGAGAUAGAAGAAAUGCAAGAUACGGAUUUCAAAAAAUGUAUGAUAAGCACAUUUAGAAGUUUUCAAAAGCAAAUCCUUGAACUACAGAAAUCCUUAUUGGACAGGAUUGAAAAUCUCUCUCGUGAAAAUGAAAUUUUAAGGAAGAAUCAAAAUGAAACGCAGAAACUAGUAGAGCAGGAAAGUGUGAUAGUGAAGAGAAAUCAAAAUGAAAUGAAGAGCUCAAUAGAUCAAAUGACAAACACAUUAGAAAGCCUUAAAAACAGAAUGGGUGAAGCAGAAGAGAGAAUAUCAGACUUAGAAGACAGAGCACAGGAAAACAUACAGUCAAACCAAAGAAAAGAAGAGGAAAUUAGAAAUCUAAAAAAUAUUGUUGGGAAUCUACAGGAUACUAUUAAAAAAACCAACAUUCAAGUUCUAGGAGUUCCUGAAGGCAUGGAGAGAGAGAAAGGAUUAGAAGGCCUUUUUAGUGAGAUACAAGCAGAGAACUUUCCAGGUUUGGAGAAGGACAGAGACAUCCUAGUACAGGAAGCUCAUAGAACCCCCAAUAAACAUGACCAAAAGAGAUCCUCACCACGACACGUGGUAAUUAAACUCAGCACAGUGAAACAUAAAGAAAAGAUCCUAAAAUGUGCAAGAGAGAAACGUCAGAUUACUCUCAGAGGAUGUCCAAUUAGACUCACAGCAGACUUCUCAUCAGAAACACUACAGGCUAGGAGGGAAUGGCGAGACAUAGCACAGGUGCUAAGAGAGAAAAAUUGCCAGCCCAGAAUAUUAUAUCCUGCUAAGCUCUCAUUUGUGAGUGAAGGGGAAAUAAAGACCUUCCAUAGCAAACAGAAAUUGAAAGACUUUGUGGCCACUCGUCCGGCCCUGUAAAAGAUACUUAAAGAUGUGCUACACUCAGAAACACAGAAACACGGCCAUCAAUAUGAAAGAAGGUAAAGGAAGAAAAACCACCAGUAAAAGAGCAUGGGAAGCUCAAAGCAUAUACUAGAAAAUAUCUCCGGGAAAAUGGCAGGGCAAAGUCACUACGUAUCAAUAGUCAUAUUAAACAUUAAUGGUCUUAACUCUUCAAUUAAAAGACACCGAUUGGCUGAUUGGCUCAAGGAACAAAACCCAACUAUUUAGGCCAGCGCCGCGGCUCACUAGGCUAAUCCUCCGCCUAGCGGCGCCAGCACACCGGGUUCUAGUCCCGGUCAGGGCGCCGGAUUCUGUCCCGGUUGCCCCUCUUCCAGGCCAGCUCUCUGCUGUGGCCAGGGAGUGCAGUGGAGGAUGGCCCAGGUGCUUGGGCCCUGCACCCCAUGGGAAACCAGGAAAGGCACCUGGCUCCUGGCUCCUGCCAUCGGAUCAGCGCGGUGUGCCGGCCACAGCGCGCCGGCCGCGGCGGCCAUUGGAGGGUGAACCAACGGCUAAGGAAGACCUUUCUCUCUGUCUCUCUCUCUCACUGUCCACUCUGCCUGUCAAAAAAAAAAAAAACCAACUAUUUGUUGCCUACAAGAAACACAUCUCUCUAACAAAGAUGCAUGCAGACUGAAAGUGAAAGGUUGGAAAAAGAAUUCCAUGCCAACAGAAACAAAAAAAAGCAGGUGUAGCAAUAUUAAUAUCAGACAAAAUAAACUUUAAUGCAAAAACUGUUAAGAGAGACAAAGAGGGGCACUAUAUAACGAUUAAGGGAUCAAUUCAACAGGAAGAUGUAACUAUUAUAAAUGUAUAUGCACCUAAUUAUAGGGCACCGGUCUAUUUAAAAGAUAUGUUAAGGGACUUAAAGGGAGAUUUAGAUUCCAAUACAAUAGUACUUGGGGACUUCAAUACUCCACUCUCAGAAAUAGACAGAUCAUCCGGACAGAAGAUCAACAAGGAAACAGCAGAUUUAAUCGACACUAUAGCCCAAAUGGAUCUAACAGAUAUCUACAGAACUUUCAAUCCUACAUCUAAAGACUUUUUUGAAAAUAUAAACAAAAUUGACACCGCAUUGGCCCAACUAACUAAAAAAAGACAAGACCCAAAUCAAUAAAAUCAGAGAUGAAAAAGGAAACGUAACAACAGACACCACAGAAAUAAAAAGAAUCAUCAGAAAUUACUACAAGGACUUGUAUGCCAGCAAACAGGGAAAUCUAUCAGAAAUGGGUAGAUUCCUGGACACAUGCAGUCUACCAAAAUUGAACCAUGAAGACAUAGAAAAUCUAAAUAGACCCAUAACUGAGACAGAAAUUGAUACAGUAAUAAAGGCCCUCCCAACGAAGAAAAGCCCAGGACCAGAUGGAUUCACUGCUGAAUUCGACCAGACAUUUAAAGAAGAACUAAUUCCAUUUCUUCUCAAACUAUUCAGAACGAUCAAAAAAGUGGGAAUCCUCCCAAAUUCUUUCUAUGAAGCCAGCAUCACCUUAAUCCCUAAGCCAGAGAAAGAUGCAGCACUGAAAGAAAAUUAUAGACCAAUAUCCCUGAUGAACAUAGACGCAAAAAUCCUCAAUAAAAUUCUGGCCAAUAGAGUACAACAACACAUCAGAAAGAUCAUCCACCCAGACCAAGUGGGAUUUAUCCCUGGUAUGCAGGGAUGGUUCAGCAUUUGCAAAUCAAUAAAUGUGAUUCACCACAUUAACAGACUGCAGAAGAAAAACCAUAUGAUUAUCUCAAUAGAUGCCGAGAAAGCAUUCGAUAAAAUUCAACACCCUUUCAUGAUGAAAACUCUAAGCAAAUUGGGUAUAGAAGGAACAUUCCUCAAUACAAUCAAAGCAAUUUAUGAAAAACCCAUGGCCAGCAUCCUAUUGAAUGGGGAAAAGUUGGAAGCAUUUCCACUGAGAUCUGGUACCAGACAGGGAUGCCCACUCUCACCACUGCUAUUUAACAUACUUCCAGAAGUUUUAGCCAGAGCCAUCAGACAAGAAAAAGAAAUUAAAGGAAUACAAAUUGAGAAGGAAGAAGUCAAACUAUCCCUCUUUGCAGACGAUAUGAUUCUUUACUUAGAGGAUCCAAAGAACUCUACUAAGAGACUAUUACAACUCAUAGAGGAGUUUGGCAAAGUGGCAGGAUAUAAAAUCAAUGCACAAAAAUCAACAGCCUUUGUAUACACAAGCAAUGCCAUGGCUGAGAAAGAACUGCUAAGAUCAAUCCCAUUCACAAUAGCUACAAAAACAAUCAGAUACCUUGGAAUAAACUUAACCAAGGACGUUAAAUAUCUCUACGAUGAGAAUUACAAAACCUUAAAGAAAUAGAAGAGGAUACCAAAAAAUGGAAAAAUCUUCCAUGCUCAUGGAUUGGAAGAAUCAACAUCAUCAAAAUGUCCAUUCUCCCAAAAGCAAUUUAUAGAUUCUAUGCAAUCCCAAUCAGGAUACCAAAGACAUCCUUCUCAGAUCUAGAAAAAAUGAUGCUGAAAUUCAUAUGGAGACGCAGGAGACCUCGAAUAGCUAAAGCAAUCUUGUACAACAAAAACAAAGCCGGAGGCAUCACAAUACCAGAUUUCAGGACAUACUACAGGGCAGUUGUAAUCAAAACAGCAUGGUACUGGUACAGAAACAGAUGGAUAGACCAAUGGAACAGAAUUGAAACACCAGAAGUCAACCCAAACAUCUACAGCCAACUUAUAGUUGAUCAAGGAUCUAAAACUAAUUCUUGGAGCAAGGACAGUCUAUUCAAUAAAUGGGGCUGGUAAAACUGGAUUUCCAUGUGCAGAAGCAUGAAGCAAGACCCCUACCUUACACCUUACACAAAAAUCCACUCAACAUGGAUUAAAGACUUAAAUCUACAACCUGACACCAUCAAGUUAUUAGAGAACAUUGGAGAAACCCUUCAAGAUAUUGGCACAGGCAAAGAGUUUCUGAAAAAGACCCGUGAGGCACAGGCAGUCAAAGCGAAAAUCAACUAUUGGGAUUGCAUCAAAUUGAGAAGUUUCUGUACUGCAAAAGAAACAGUCAGGAGAGUGAAGAGACAACCGACAGAAUGGGAAAAAAUAUUUGCAAACUAUGCAACAGAUAAAGGGUUAAUAACCAGAAUCUACAAAGAGAUCAAGAAAUUUCACAAAAACAAAACCAACAACCCACUUAAGAGAUGGGCCAAUGACCUCAAUAGACAUUUUUCAAAAGAGGACAUCAAAAUGGCCAAACAGGCACAUGAAAAAAUGUUCAAGAUCACUAGCAAUCAGGGAAAUGCAAAUCAAAACCACAAUGAGGUUUCACCUCAGCCCAGUUAGAUUGGCUCACAUACAGAAAUCUACCAACAACAGAUGCUGGCGAGGAUGUGGGGAAAAAGGGACACUAACCCACUGUUGGUGGGAAUGCAAAGUGGUCAAGCCACUGUGGAAGUCAGUCUGGAGAUUCCUCAGAAACCUAAAUAUAACCCUACCGUUCGACCCAGCCAUCCCACUCCUUGGGAUUUACCCAAAGGAAUUUAAAUUGGCAAACAAAAAAGCGGUCUGCACCCUAAUGUUUAUUGCAGCACAAUUCACAAUAGCCAAGACCUGGAACCAACCUAAAUGCCCAUCAACGGCAGACUGGAUAAAGAAAUUAUGGGAUAUGUACUCUUUAGAAUACUAUACCGCAGUAAGAAACAACGAAAUCUAGUCAUUUGCAACAAAAUGGAGGAAUCUGGAACACAUCAAGCCAGUCCCAAAGGGACAAAUACCAUAUGUUCUCCCUGAUGGGUGACAACUGACUGAACACCAAAAAGGAAACCUCCUGAAGUGAAAUGGACACUAUGAGAAACGGUGACUUGAUUAGCAUAGCCUGACUGUUAAUGAACAACUUAAUACAUUAUCCCUCUUAGUAGUUUUUUUGUCUGUUCUACUUAAUAUGACUGGUUUAAUUCUGUAAUUAAUACACAGUUAUUCUUAAGUGUUGAAAUUUAACUGAAAUGUGAUCCCUGUUAAACAUAAGAAUGGGAAUAAGAGAGGGAAGAGAUGUACAGUUUGGGACAUGCUCAAGCUGACUUGCCCCAAAUGGUAGAGUUAGAAGCAUACCAGGGGACUCCAAUUCAAUCCCAUCAAGGUGGCAUGUACCAAUGCCAUCUCACUAGUCCAAGUGAUCAAUCUCAGUUCACAAUUGAUCAUAAUGAAAGGACUAAGAGUCAAAGGGAGCACAUAAACAAGUCUAGUACCUGCUAAUACUAACCGAUAGAAUAAAUAAAGGGGAGAGUGAUCCAACAUGGGAAGCGAGAUACUCAGCAGACUCAUAGAAUGGCGGAUGUCCUAAACAGCACUCUGGCCUCAGAAUCAGCCCUAAAGGCAUUUGGAUCUGGCUGAAAAGCCCAUGAGAGUAUUUCAGGCAUGGAAAGCCAAGACACUCUGGCAAAAGAUCUCUGUGAGUGAGAUCCCAGUGGAAAGAACAGGUCUUCAAAGAAGGAGGUACCUUUCUCUGAAGGGAGGAGAGAACCUCCACUUUGACUAUGACGUUGUCUAAACAAGAUAAGAGUUGGAGAACUCAAAAGGCUUCCAUAGCCUUGGAAACUCAUGACUGCAGCUUAGGGAGAUUACUGAUGCCAUAAACAGGAGUGUCAAUUUGUAAAGUCAACAAUAGGAGUCACUGUGCACUUACUCCUCAUGUAGGAUCUCUGUCCUUAACGUGCUGUACAUUGAGACUUAAUGCUAUAACGAGUACUCAAACAGUAUAUUUCACUUUGUGUUUCUAUGGGGGUGCAAACUGUUGGAAUCUUUACUUAAUGUAUACUAAACUGAUCUUCUGUAAAAAAAAAAAAAAGAAAUUAUCAAUUCCCAACUUGACUCUCACUGUGAUUAAACAUGACAAUAGGUCUGAUCUGAUUUCAUCAUCAUUUAAAAAAUCAUGUAUUAUUUUUCACUUUAUGUUUCUGUGUAGGAGCAAACUGUUGAAAUCUUUACUUAAUGUAUACUAAACUGAACCUCUGUAUAUGAAGAGAAUCGAAAAUGAAUCUUGAUGUGAAUGGAAGGGGAGAGGGAGUGGAUAAGGGGAGGGUAGUGGGUUGGAGGGACGGUAUUAGGGGGGAAGCCAUUGUAAUCCAUAAGCCGUACUUUGGAAAUUUAUAUUCAUUAAAUAAAAGUUAAAAAAAAAGAUCCCCUGGGGCAGCCCUUAACAGCUGGAGUAGUAGUCAAAGACGGGUAAGAUCCCCAGAGGGGGACAACCUAAGACAGACAUGCUCCUUAAAGGGCUGAUCCCAGUCAGAUGGGAUAACCUAAGGCAGGCAUAUGGUGCCUGGUGGGUCUGAGGCUGCCUCAGUUAAGCUACAUAAGAUCAAAGCACCGGCAGGGGGCAGGGAUAGGUCAGAUUUAGUUCUGGACACGUGGACAGUGCAUGAUCCCUAUACUUUGCUUAAGUUGCCCCUGUGCGUUGCCCACCCAUGCCUGCGUGACCUCUUCUCUGAUUGGCUCCCCUACUGCUCAUGCCCUUUGUAAGCUUUAUAAGCCUGCACACUUCCUCAAUAAAGUGGUUCCUGCUUCGACAGAACCCACGGGUGCUUGUGAUGUGUUCAUCACCCGUGGACCAUUCGCCUUGUUGGGGAGUGUUUGUAGUGGCCCCUGCUGGUCAGGGGCCAGCCUAGGGCUUGAGACCCCGACACGCAACAGCCAGAGCUGCGCUGAUCCAAAGCCAGGAGCUAUCAGAGAAUGAAAUGGAGACUUCAGAUGUUUUUUGUAUCUUGAAAGGCAGCCAUGGCUCAGAGGCAGCAGAAUCUGGGCCACGUGAGCUCUCGGAAUAGAAACGGUGGCAGGUCAGGACAUGGAUCUCUGCAGGUCUGAAAUAGUGGGUUAUUGAUCCCAAACAGCCCCAGAAUAAACAGUUCCCUCUAAAGCCCAGAGGUUGUUGGAUUUUUUUUCCCCCUCUGAAAAAUUCCCCUCAGAACUUUAUUAGGCGACUUCUCUCUGCCAGGAGAUUGGAAUUUGGGUAAUAAAGGAGGAAAGAACAUUGGAGAACCAGGGAGUUGAAAGCUUUUGUUUUGUUCUCAGAACUUGAGCCACAGCACUCACUAAACCCAGAGUGAGUCCCAGAAUGUUUUCUUUUAAGAUUUAUUUAUUUAUUUGAGAGGCAGCAUUAGAGACAGAGACAGAGAGACAGAGAGAGAGGACUUCCACCCGCUGGUUCACUCCCCAAAUGGCCGCAACAGCUGGAACUGGGCUUCUCUGAAGCCAGGAGCCAGGAGCUUCUUCCAGGUCUCCCACGCGGGUGCAGGGGCCCUAGGACUUGGGCCAUCUUCCUACUGCUUUCCCAGGCCAUAGCAGAGAGCUGGAUGGGAAGUGGAACAGCUGGGACUCAACCAGCUCCCAUAUGGGAUGCCAGCGCCGCAGGUGGAGACUUAGCCUACUAUGCUACAGUGCCGGCCCCCUUAAUUGUUUCCAUAAACAGUAGUGACAUUUUCUUCAUAGUGUCCUCCAUGAAAAGCAAAGGAGUUACCACGUGGAGGGCGGAGUCUCUGGGGAACAGUGCCUGAGACAGCACAUGCAGUGUUAAUGAUGGGUUACUAUUACAUGUCGCAGAGGGAAAGGAAACAGAAAAGGCACAGGUCUGGAAACCACCAAGUUCAGUGGUAGAGAUGGGGCCUGGUGAUACAGGGGCCAAGACAGAAAAAUUAGGUGGGAACAGGUGAGCCAGAAGCCUCUAGGUCUGCACUGCAACUCCUCCCCUUACCUGGCAAUCCAGUCUGCCUGCUUUCCCAUGAUCCCCCAGGACCAGGAAGGAGGAGAUGGCGCUGAGGGCCAUGUGGAGGUUAAACCCCAUGUGGCUGUGCCAUGACAUUGGCAGAAAACCUUCUGCACACUAAACCCCACCCAGACUGCAGCCCCCUUGUGUGUUCACUUACGGCUCUGCGCCCUACCCCACGCAAGUGACUGCUACCCGUGGGAACAGCUCGCGCUGGUUUUGCUUUAUGGCUUCUGGACUUUGCUCCUGGGUCCUUCUCUGGCCUCCUCCCCCGCCUCUCUGGAACUUUUUGCCUUAUUUCUGUCCUGAGCAACACAUCCGUGCACCAGGGGAAGCAGGCCUGCCCUCCCACCCGCAACCAGGAUAAGACCGCCUCAAGGACAUUUCCUCUGCUCACAAAUUUUCAUGGACAAUGAAGGGUCCUCUUCUCUAACAGCAGCUUCCUGGGGCUGGUCUCCAUACUAACAGCUCACUGUAGUGCUUUGUUGACCUAGGGUACAGUAACUUGGCAAUUGCAAAUUUGUUGCUUUUGCAAUGGUCCACAUUUGCAUAGGCGCAACCUUUGCUUUCUGAUUGGUUGGUACUGUUUCGUUCCAUCCAAUCUGACUCCCUCUCUGGAGCCUUCAUUUGAAUAGUGAGUCUAUAAAUAGGCUACUUACCGUUGCAACCGCCGUUUGACUUCAGGCGACGGUUCGGGUGCUGUUUUCAGUUACAGCCCGAGGGCCGUCGGAGCCCCAGCCCCGAUCCCGGACAGGGCGGCGAGCGAGGGGCAGCGGCGGACGCGGGCGGGAAGGGCGGGCCCGCAGCGCAGCCGUGAGCCAGGGUGUCUGUCACUGAUGGAAGAUUGAGUAGUGAAACCAGUUUAAAGGACAAAACCAAUGUGGAAAUACAAGGCAUUCAUUGUCACAGUGAAGCUUGACGGUGUUGCAGACAACCUCGAUAGUAUGUUUAAAUUGGCAGAGGCAGCAGGCCAUAUGGCUAGGUAAGAUCCUAUGAAUAGAGACAGAGAAUUAAGUUACCUGUAAAGGGGUUCCUUGGGUGGGUCAAACAGGUGAGCCAAGGUGCCAGCAAAGGAGUUCUUGAGGUAUGUGGCCAGGACAUUUGGGUAGGAGCCUGGUGGCCAAUUGUUGGUCUUGAAUAUGAGAAUAAAGGAAGGAGGGAGAGGUGGCCCAAGGAGGCAUAGGCAUGGAAGUGGGUGUGGUGUAUCCAAAAUAAAGUCAGCAGGGUGAGCAUUGGGCACCAUGGAUCUGUCGUUUGACUCAGGGGUGUCUCCUUCCAGUUCACAAGUCUCACUGUGGGUUGGGAGUGCACAGGAGGACUUCCCCCAACCUCUGGAGUCCCCUUCUCCAUCCCUGUUGGAAGUGUUCACUAUUAGAAACUACUCUGGUCCCAGAAAAAUGACUGACUGCAGUAAUUGUUGGAAAAGAUGUGGAGAAAAAGGAACACUCACUCACUGAUGGGUGAGUGAAAGUAAUUUGAGCAGGCAGGUGUUUAGCCCAGCCAUGAAGAUGCUGCUUGGGACAAGCACAUCCCCUUCUGGAGUGCCUGGCUCCAUUUCUGAUCCCUGUUUCCUGCCAGGGAGUGCCCUGGGAUGUGUCAGGUGGUGCUUCCCUAAAUACCCAGAAAUGGAAAGACUGCAACUUAUGGUAGGUGUGUGUUUUUAAGAAACUGUCAGUCUAUUUUUAUUAUAUAUAUUUUUAAUUUAUCAUUUCAAAAGUUUCUGUGGAAGGAAGAGAGAGAAACACACACAAACACACACAUCUUUUCUUUUUUUUUCUUUUUGACAGGCAGGGUGGACAGUGAGAGACAGAGACAGAAAGGUCUUCCUUUUGCCAUUGGUUCACCCUCCAAUGGCCGCUGCAGCCGGCGCGCUGUGGCCGGCGCAUCGUGCUCAUCCAAAGCCAGAAGCCAGGUGCUUUUCCUGGUCUCCCAUGCAGGUGCAGGGCCCAAGGACUUGGGCCAUCCUCCACUGCACUCCCAGGCCAUAGCAGAGAGCUGGCCUGGAAGAGGGGCAACCGGACAGAAUCUGGUGUCCCGACUGGGACUAGAAUCCGGUGUGCUGGCACAGCAAGUCGGAGGAUUAGCCUAUUGAGCCACGGUGCUGGCCACAUCUUUUCAUUAGGUAGUUUACUCCCCAAAUGUCUGCGACAUCCAGGGCUGCGCCAGGCCAAAGCCAGGAGCUCAGAAACUAGUUUGGUUUUCCAUGUGAGGAGCAAGAACUCAAGUCCUUGGGGCAUCACCCACUGCCUUCCAGGGUGCACGUUAGCAGGAAGCUGGGGUGGAGCAGAGCCGGGACUUGGAUCCAGGCAUUCUGAUGUGGGAUUGGAGUAUCCCAGGUAGUGGCUUAACGGCUGCACCAAACGCCUGCCUCAUAAACAGUUUAAUUUUUAUUUGUUUUAUUUUUUAAAGCUUUUAUGUAAUGAAUGCAAAUUUCAUAGGUACAACUUUAGGAAUAUAGUGUUUUUUCCCCCAUACCUGCCCUCCCACCCCCACUCCCAUCCUACCUCCUACUCCCUCUCCCAUCCCAUUCUUCAUUAAGAUUCACUUUUGAUUGACUUUAUAUACAAAAGAGCAACUCUAUACUAAGUAAAGAUUUCAACACUUUGCACCAACCCCCCACCCCACAACAUAAAAAGUACUGUUUGAGAACAAGUUUUGCAGUUAAUUCUCAUAGUACAACUCAUUAAGGACAGAGUUCCUACAUGGGGCGUAAGUGCAAACAGCUUCAUUUCUAAUACCCCCAAACUGGAACAACCUAAGUGUUCACAAAUAGGUGAAUAGAUAAACUAUGGUAGGUUCAUAUAAUGAAAUGCUAUUCAGCAAUAAAAGGAAAUUAACUCUUGGUACACACAACAACAAGAGUGUCUUAGUCAUGUUGAGUCAUGUUGAGUGACAAAAACUGGUUAGAAAACAGUGCAUACUGUUUGUGGUUCCAUUUCUAUAAACGUGUAGAACAUGCAUAAUAGCCCAUAGUAACAGUAAGAAGGUCAAGGUUACAUGGAAAUUGGAUUGGGGAGCGCAAGGAGGGAUGGAAGGGAAGAAUGAUAAAAAGAUAAAAGCACAAGUUGAGGUGGCGGGUAUUUUGCUGUGGUCAUGGCCUAUGGUAUAUACAUCUAUCCACAUAGGUGGUCCACUGUGUCUAUUAUUUCUUCAUCUCUGGAACUACUAUGAAACUGCUCAGAGGAAAGAAGGAAGGGAGGAAGCAAGAGAGAGGAGGAGGAAGGGGGAGGGGUGGGAGUGAGGGAGCAGAGGAGGGAAGGAAGGCUAAUGAUUGAGUCCACAUGAGAAGUAUGCUGCUUGUGAUACCCACAUCCUGUAUGGCAGUGCCUGGGUUCUCGGUGUACUUUUUGUACUAUUCUUUACUUUUCUUGGGGGAUUGAAUUAUUUUUAAAAAUAUUUAUUUAUUUAUGUUAUUAUUUAUUAUUAUUUUUCACUCUCCAAAUGGCCACAAAAGCCGAGUGGAGUAGCUGGGAUUCAAACUGACAUUCCAAUAUGGAGUGCCGGCAUCACAAGUGGUGAGUUACCUUGCUGUGCCACAAGGCCUGUCCCUAGUAGGUUUGAGUAUUUUUAAAAUAAAAUUGGCAAAAACGCUAACAAAGCUAGUUGGUUAUCUUAUUAAGAAUUAUUGGAGGCUGUUCAGGGAGAUAAAAACAGCCUGUUUAAUAGGAGUGAGUCCUCAAGAUUAUACUUAAGCAGUAUAAUUUAGUGAUUAGGAAUACAGAUUCCAUCACCAGAUUAGGUGCACAUCUUAGCUCUGCUAAUAAUAUGAUCUUGGGCAAAUGGCUUAGACUCUGUUUCUCAACCACCUCAUUCUGAUAGCACCUACCUCUAAUGAGAUGUGAGGACCAAAUGAAUCAGCACUUGAGGUGUGCCUGACACAUGUGAGUGUGCAACACAGUUAGACACUGUAGUUAUUCACUUGCAAACCACUACCUGCACAGUACUGAUGCUCUCCCACCUUGGGUUGUUUGGGGGCCUUCUCUGAGGCAAAAGGAUGACUUUAUUAGGAAAACAGAACCUGUGUUUCAUGGAAACACGAAGGCUGUGGGUUGGGGGCACAAUGUAUAGAGUUUAGAUUAACACUGGAUACACUUAGUGGGCCAGGCUCUUUCUAACCAAUAGAAUAACCAAUGGUUGAGUUGUUACAGAUGACUAAUGUUACUUCUUUGGGUCCAGGGAAAGCUUCAUAUAGAAAGAAUGCACUCAGAACGCUAAGCUAGUGUUUUACUAGACUUCAAUUCUAACAGGAAAUUUUUUUAAGUCCUUUCUACCCCUAACUUUGUAUUUUGAAAAUUUUCAAGACUACAAAAAUAUCCGAAAGAUUGGUGUCAUGAAUUUACAUAUUCUUUCACUUAGAUUCAACUGUUGCUAACAUUUUGCCACAUUCACUUUCCACGUGUGUGUCUCUAUGCACUUCUUGGACAAACCAUUUGAGAAUGAGCUGUAGAUACGAUGACCUUUUCUUGCUAAACCUGAAGUCUGCGUCUCCUAAGAACAAAGGCAUUCUCCUGCAUAUCCACAACACUGUUAUCACCCAGUCAGCUUUAACAUUAACAUCACCGUCUAUUGUGGUCCACAUGCAGGUGCUCUCAGUUGUCCCAAACAUGUCUUGGCUACUUUUAAAUCAGGCAUUGCAUUUUAUUUUCAUGGCUCUUUAAUUUUCUUCAGUUUAGAACUGUUCCUUUUUUGCAGUGUUUCAUGGCAUUGGGAUUUUUGAGGCAUUCAAAUCAGUUGUUUUACAGCAUGUACCUCAAUUUGUAUUUCUAAGACCAAUACUGAAUAUAAUCACCAGGGAACAUUUAUUUUUUUGAGUGGCUAAGAUUUUUUUUUAAAAAGUUUUAUUUAUUUGAAAGGCAGAGUGAUGGUUGGGUGGAGGAGAGAAAGGAGAGAGAGAGAGAAUGAGUGGAGGGAGAGGGAGAGGGAGAGAGAGAGAAUAUGAAUGAUAUAAAUGAAUGUGAAUAAAUCUUCCAGCCACUGGUUCAUGCCCCAAAUGGCCACUGCAGCUGGGGUUGGGCUGGGUUGAAGUCAGGAGCCAGGAUCCAGGAGCCAGGAACUAUAUUCAGGUCUCUCCUGGGUGGCAGGGGGCAAGCACUUUGGUCAUCCUGUGCUGCUUUCCCAGGUUCAUUAGCAAGGAGCUGGAUGGGAAGUGGAGCAGCUGGGACUUGAACUGGCACUCCCAUAUGGGAUGCCAGCAUCACAGACAACUUCACCUUAUGCCACAACACCAGCCCCACUAGGGACCAUUUCUGGCAGGAACACUGCAUCUUGCAUAGAGAAUGUUGUAGUUUUGCUGCUUACUAAAAUGGAUGCACUAGGGAUAAUGUCAGUGAUAAAAUAUUUAUUUUUUAGAAGAUUUUUAUUUAUUUGAGAGGUAGAGUUACAAACACAGAAAGGGAGAGACAGAGACAAAGGUCUUCCAUCUUAAGCUGGUUCACGUCCCAAAUGGCCUCAAUGGCCAGAGCUGGGCCAAUCUGAAGCCAGGAGCCAGGAGCUUCUUCCGGGUCUCCCAUGCAGGUGCAGAGGCUCAAGCACUUAGGUCAUCUACUGCUUUCCCAGGCCAUAGCAGAGAGAUGGAUCAGAAAAGGAGAAGCCAGGACUGGAUCCGGUGCCCAUAUGGGAUGCUGGCACCGCAGGUGGAGACAGCCCACUAUACCACAGCGCUGGGCCCCAAAUCAUUAAUUUUAAAAAUAUUGGCAAAUCUGGGACAGCACCAUGGUGCAGUAGGUUAGUCCUUCACCUGCAGCGCCUGCAUCUCAUAUAGGCGCUGGUUCUAGUGCCAGCUGCUCUGCUUUUGAUCUAGCUCUCUGCCAUGGCCUGAGAAAGCAGUGGAAGAUGGCCCCAGUCCUUGGGCCCCUGCACCCAUGUGAGAGACUGGGAAGAAGCACCUGGCUCCUGGUUUCGAUCAGUGCAGCUCCAGCCAUUGUGGCCAUUUGGGUAGUGAACCAUCGGAAGGCUUUUCUCUCUGUGUCUCUCUCUCACUGUCUAUAACUCUUAUCUGUCAAAUAAAUAAAUAAAAUUUUAAAAAAUAUUGGAAAAUCUUUUGAAAUUGCUAAUGACCUGAGGUAUAACUUAUUCUUACUAGAUAAUAUUUAAGUAUUAAAGACCAUUGCACAUUAAUAUGCAAUAAAGGGGCCAGCGCUGUGCUGUAGCAGGUUAAGCCUUCACCUGCAGUGUCAGCAUCCCUUAUAGGCACUGGUUCAAGUCCCAGCUGCUCCGCUUCUGGUCCAGCUCCCUGCUAAUGCACUUGGGAAAGCAGCAGAGGAUGGCCCAAGUGCUUGGGCUCCUGCUCCCACAUGAUUCAGAAUAAGCUCCGACUCCUGACUUUGGCCUGGCCAAGCCCUGGCUGUUGUGGUCUUUUGAGCUAGGAACCAGCAGAUGGAAGAUCUUUCUCUCUCUGUGUAUUUCUGUCUUUCUUUUUUUUUUCUUUUUUUAACUUUUAUUUAAUGAAUAUAAAUUUCCAAAGUACAGCUUAUGGAUUACAAUGGCUUCCCCCCCCCAUAACUUCCCUCCCACCCGCAACCCUCCCCUUUCCCUCUCCCUCCCCCCUUCCAUUCACAUCAAGAUUCAUUUUCAAUUCUCUUUAUAUACAGAAGAUCAGUUUAGCAUAUAUUAAGUAAAGAUUUCAACAGUUUGCACCCACAUAGAAACAUACCAGGGGAUUCCAAUUCAAUCCCAUCAAGGUGGCAUGUACCAAUGCCAUCUCACUAGUCCCGGUGAUCAAUUUCUGUUCAAAUUGAUCAUAAUGAUAGGACUAAUAGCCAAAGGGAGCACAUAAACAAGACUAGUGUCUGCAAAUACUAGCUGAUAGAAUAAAAAAGGGAGAGAACGAUCCAGCAUGGGAAGCGAGAUACACAGCAGACCCAUAGAACGGCAGAUGUCCUAAACAGCACUCUGGCCUCAGAAUCAGCCCUUAAGGCACGCAGAUCUGGCUGAAAAGCCCAUGAGAGUAUUUUAGGCAUGGAAAGCCAAAACACUCUGGCAAAAAUAAAAAAAAAAACCUACAUGUAUUUCUGCCUUUCGAAUAAAUAAGUAAGUCUUUAAGAAUGCAUUAAGGACCAUCGCCUAUGAGUCAUGACACAAAUGAGCUGGCCUGCUUUGUCUAAACUCCUGAGGACUUCCAAUAAUGAACUCCAGUGUAACAAUUGCUUUCAGGUUUUUAUAGCCUUGGUUGCACAUGGCUCCAGAAAAUGCUAGCACUUUUCCUGUCCACUGAUGGUCAAGUAUGAAAAAAGCAGCUAGAACACCACAGCCUUGGCUAACUGAGAAAGCUUGUUGAUGAUGAGAGCUUUGACUAUUUGGAGAGGAAGGCCUCUCACUGACCUGGGAGGAUCCACUGUGGCAGAUGCUGCCCAAGGUUGAGGAAGAGGAGGCUAGAGCAGAAACCAGUGGACUUGAUGAUGUGGGAAAGUUAGUCAAGGAGGUGAUCUGACAGAAGUGAUUAGGGCAGGGUAUGCUGUGAGAGGGCUUUCCCCAUUCUUAUCUUGUGGAGUCCGCUCAACUAGCCUUAUCAUAGUUUCUGUUUAGCUUGUCCAAUUGGCAGGGGGGAGGUCACAAUGGAAGUUGCAGUGAGUUUAUGGUAAAAUGUCAGAAUAGGGCUCUAAGGAAAUCCUUUUUAAAACUUCAAAACUUGAGAUACUUCAAACUCUGCAUGAAAAUUAACUAGAAAGGAUCAUGGACCUAAAUGUAACUCUACAGUUUCUACAAGAAAACAGGAGAAAAUCUCUGUAACUUUAGAUUAGACAAUGGGUUAUUUGAAAGAUUUUUUCAGGAAAGGCAGAAUAAAAGGACAAACCAUACAAGAUAAAAAGUUGCUAUAGGUUCACCAACAUUAAAAAAAAUUAACUUCUACUCUUCAGAAGAUACAAUUAAUAGAGUGGAAGGAUAACUUACAACCAGAGAGAAGGUAUUUACUAAACAUACAUCUGAGAGAAAGUACUCAUACCCAGAGCAUAUAAAACACUCUUAAAACUCCCUAAGAUUACCAUCAAAUUACUACAUGGGAACAGAUUGAAUAGACACUUGGUAAAGAUAUUUGCACAACAGUAUCAUCAGUCAUUAGAGUAGUGCAAGUUUAAACUGCAGUGAGUGUACCCAAGGUGCCAGCGUUAGGAUGACUGAGUCCCGCAUUUGAGCACUUGCAUUUGAUUCUUCACUCUGGUUCCUGAUUCCAGCUUCCUGCUAAUAUAGUUCUUCUGCCUUUCUUUGGCUUGAGUAAUUGGGGUUCCUGCCACCUAAGUGAGAGGUCUCGGUUGAAUUCCCAGCUGUCAAUUCCAGCUUCAGCCCAGUGCUGGUCAUGGUGGGCAUUUGGUGAGAGAACUGAUUGACUCUCAAGUAACUAUUUUUAAAUACUAAAAAAAUAUAGAGAUUCCACUAUAUAUCUACUAGCAUAAAAGCUACAUUAAAAAAGUUUUAUUUUUUAACUUAUUUGAAAGAACGAGAGAGAGAGAGAGAGAGAGAUUGAUUGAUUGACCUUCCAUCUGCUGGUUCACUUCCCCAAAUGCUGGUAACAGCCAGGGUUGGGCCAGGACUAUGCCAAGGAUAUAGGUCUCAGUGUGUGGGUCUCCUACAUGGGUGGCAGAGACCAGAAUACUCGAGUUACCAUUGGCUACCUCCCAGGGUGCACAUUAGCUGGAAGCAGAGUAGCUGGGACUCAAACUGGGCACUCUGAUAUGGGAUGCAGGCAUCCCAAGUGCUAUCUUUUUAUUUAUUUAUUUAUUUGACAGGUGGAGUUAGAGAGACAGAGAGAAAGGUCUUCCUUCCAUUGGUUCACCCCCCAACCUCCCCCCAAAUGGCUGCUACCGCCGGAGCUGCGCUGAACUGAAGCCAGGAGCCAGGUGCUUCCUCCUGGUCUCCCAUGCGGGUGCAGGGCCCAAGCACUUGGGCCAUCCUCCACUGCCUUUCCAGGCCACAGCAGAGAGCUGGACUGGAAGAGGAGCAGCCGGGACUAGAACCCGGUGCCCAUAUGGGAUGCCGGUGCCACAGGUGGAGGAUUAGCCAAGUGAGUCACGGUGCCAGCCCCCCAAGUGGUAUCUUAAUGCUGUGCCACAACGUCCAGUUUCUAAAUGUUUGUUUAAAAAGUUGAAAUCUGAGGACUGGGACAACACAUGUUGCAAGUGCCACUCUCGAACAUUGUUGGUGAGAGUGCAGACUGCAGCAGCUACUUGGCAAACAGUUUAGCUGUGUGUUAAACAGUUAAAUAUACACUUAGUAGGUAAUGCACUUUCCUACCCCUAGAUAUUUACACCAAAGAAAUGAAGACACAUAUUCACACACAGACCUGCAUGUGAGUGCUGCUAGCGGCUUUAUUUAUAAUUGCAAAAAGUUGGAAAACACAGUUCUAUAUAAACUGAUGAAAUGGAUAAACAAACUGGUGUAACUACACAAUUGGAAUAUUACUCAGCAAUAGGUAGAGGCAGCAACAUGAAUAGUAGUUUAAUCUCUAAAGGAUUAUGCUGAGUAAAAGGAGCCAGACACAAGAGGCUACACUUACUACAUGAUUUUGCUUAUAAGACUCUGUGGAAAGAAAAACUACAAGAAUAGAAACAGGGUGAGUGGUUUGAGGGCCUGGGUCUGGGGAUGGGAGCAGAUGAUCGAUUGGAAAGGACCAUGAGGGACCUUUUUGGGUUGAUAGAAAUGUUCUACAUCCGGAAUUUGGUGGUGGUUACAUAACCACGUGUUUGCCAAAACUCAGCAAACUUUACAGUGUGAAUUGAAAUACAUAAAAAUUAUACCUCCAUAAGCCUGACUUAAGAAAACAAGUCUACAGACUUACAUGGAAAUAAACCUAAGAAAAAGAUAACUUACAGGUUUUCCAAUUGGAGAGUCAUCAUGAGGAUGUUCUCAACUGUGGUAAGUGGUACUUGUGUUGUUCCCAAGUCUCUGAAGGAGAAAGCCCAAACAUUCAUGGUGUGGACCUCAAUAAAAAGAUCUGUCCUUAAAAAGGUUGUUUCAGGAAGAUGUGGUUACAUCAGUUUUGGCUUCUCUAUAAAGCAAGACAGCUCAAGAGUUUGUCAUGGAGACCGUUCCAGAAAGCCCUGGUUGAAAUGACUUUACUAUUUGCAUCAUCAGAUUAAUGACCUUGGCAUUGAAGAGUAGAACCUACACCUUUUUCUGCCAUUGUCUUAUUUUUCAUUUUAUACUACACUGACCUCUUUUAAUUCUUAUUUUUUUCUUUAAAAAAUUUACAUCUAUACCUCUUUGCUUGGGAUAAAUGGUAUUCCUAACAUGUAUUUGCAUGUAACACUGUCUCGCCCUGCCAGCUGUCUUUCCCAUGAUAAAUUCUUUCUCAGUUCUUGCCUCAGUCAAUAACUUUUUUUCAGUAACCUAAUUUAUUUUUUUUCAGUAAUCUAAUUUAAAAUCAUGACUUUUUAGCCUCAAUCUCAAAUAUUUGAUGUUUGAUGAAAAUAAAAAAGGAUUAGUUUAAUACUUACAGAUAUUUUAAUGCUGGCAGUUUAAAAAGAUACGAAUCUUCAACAUUUGUCAGAGGAUUACGAUUGAGAUUUCUGAAAAAUGCAAUGGAAUUAAAGUUAUCGGCCUUUCAAUAAGCACAAGAUUGUAUGAGAAAUUAUAUUCUUUUUUGUGUAGACAUUUUAGGCUUAAAAUUACUUUCUGUGUACUUAUAAAUCACCCUUAGAAUUCAAAAAGCACUUGUUCUUUGGGAACUACCUAUGUCUCUUAGAGGAUGAAUGGAGAAGAGAAAGAGAAAGAGAAAAGAUACAAAAAAAUGCAUAAUAAACAAAAAAUAUGCAAAAGAACUUUUUAGGUGAAAAGCCUUAGAAGUGGAGCCAGUGUUUUGCCUAGCAAUUAACAACCAGAUUGGGAUACCUACGUCUCAAAUCAGAUGCCUGGGUUUGAUUCCCAGUUCCAUCUUCUAAUUGCAACUUCCUGUUAAUGCAGACCCUGGGAGGCAGUGGUGAUGGCUCAAUUGGUUGAGUUUCUGCUGCCUACUUGGAGACGUGGACUGGUUUCUGGUUCCCAGCUUCAGCCUGGGCCUGGCCUAGCCUCGCCCGAGCCAUUGCAGGUUCCGGAGCCCAGAUGGGAAAGGUGCUCAAGAGGAACCAUGCAGAUGUGGUUGUCCCCGUAUGGCCUAGAAGUUCUGAUCAUCAUUCAAAGGAGUGUUGUUCCGGAGCCCAGAUGGGAAAGGUGCUCAAGAGGAACCAUGCAGAUGUGGUUGUCCCCGUAUGGCCUAGAAGUUCUGAUCAUCAUUCAAAGGAGUGUUAAGGGCCCGGAGUCUGAGCAGAGCCCUCCUGCUGCACUGGAGAAGAGUCCCGCUCCAUGGUGGGCUCCGGAGUUAUGGUCAGCGCCACAUCUGCAGGCUUGAUGGUAACAUUGGGCAGGUUAUAACGGUGAACUUGAUUCUGAUCUGGAGACCAGUCCGUCCCCUUCUGAAUCUGUGGAGUCUGAGCUAUGAUAGUCUCUUCAGGAGAUUCUAGCGCUUGAGCUCGGGGAUCUUGCUGUACUGGAGAUUUGACUUCCACAGGGAGUGCCGAAGGCUUCUCCGGGGCUUCCAGUUGGCUUCUAGAAGGUUUGAUCUCUGGAGACUCAGAAGGCUGAGCAGGCUGCUCCUGAUUGCUGGAGGAAUAUUCAGUGUUCACAGGCAGGCCGGAAGGCUGAGCUGGGGCCCCCUGCUGGGCUACAGAUGGGCUGACUUCCUCAGCAUACUCUGAGGGCUGAGCUGUGGCAUCAUUUUGGGUAGAGAAAGGUCCAGUCUCCUCAGGGAGAUCUGAGGUCUGAGCUAGACCCUCUUGAGUCCAAGAUUCCACCCUCCCAGGGAAUUCUGGUAUCUGCUCUGGGGCCUCUUGUUGGGCUGAGGGGAGUCCCACUCCCUCAGGAUGCCCCAGAGGCUGAGCUGGAGCCUGCUCCGUGCUUGGAGUAGACUGAACUUCCUCACCUGCCCCUGAGGCUUCUGUCAGCUCCGUGUCUGCAGGUUUCAGUGUGACGCUGGGGAAGUUUGCUUGGAGAGCUACAAUCUGAGGUGAGGAUGGAGUGUUAAGACUGUGAUACACUGAUGCCUGACCUACUACUUCUGCAGUAGCAAAUGGAUUCUGAGCGGGGGCCUCCUGCUGCAAUGGAGAUGCUUCUUCCUCGGGCUGCUGCAGGUCUGCACCUGGGCCCUCUUGCUGGGGUGAAGAAGGUUCAUCUGGUUCAACGGCCUGUGGAGGCGGAACUUGUUCUUCUUGCUGUGCGGAGGAGGAUUGGAUGGGCUCCUGAGUCUCUGGAUUUUUAGUCUGGCCUUCCAUCAGGAAUUGAGAUGGUUCAGCCUGCUCAGAGGGCUGUGCAGGUUCUCCUGGGUUCUCCUGGGAUUCCGUAGGAAAACCACCAGGAUAGACCCCAUAGUCAGCCGGCAACACUUGAUUUUGACCCUGAAGCUUGGCCGCUUUGUCUGGAGUUCCAACACCAACCUUAGGAAGCCGUCGACGCCGAGCUAGAUCUUUCUUGGGGGUCGGGGUGAAACAAUCAACUUGUUUCCUUGUGAAUCCUGACUGUCUAGAGGCAGAACGAAUGCUUCCAAUGACUGGUGAAUCUUUCCUUCCAGUCGAGGAGGCAGAGCCAGGGGCUGAACCUGAUCCCCGUCUAGCACGGGAAUGGCCUCUGGUAGCCUCUGUUGUCGAGUCAGCCUAUUGAAAUACUGCUUUGGAACAGCAAGCUGUUCUGACUCUGGGGGCACCCCUUGAGCUGAAUCCAUGUCCAGAAAAGGAAGCAAACUCACAGUGGACUCUCGAGGCGAGGCCAGCAUCUGGGAGAGAGCAGAAGACCCCAGGUAAUCAAAGCCGCCGGGGUCUGCCGGGGGUGUGAGUGCGUCAGGCGAUUCAGGUGGGAAGUUCGGGGAGUGGGAAGACCAGGGCUCAGAGAGCCAAGGGAGGCUGGAGGUCAGCUGGACCAGGUCCUGGGCCCACUCCAGAGGCUGAGUCGCCUGGACUGGCAGCCACAAAGGCUGCCAGUUGAAGAGGAGCCAUGGGACCCACAAGCACAAAGGGGUCAUUGAUGGGGUUUUCAAGAUACAGUGACUCAGGCUGCUGGGGCACACGCAGUAUGCCCUGAGCAUGAGCUAAUGAAUUUUCAGGAUACAGUAACUCAGGCUGCUAGGGCACACACAGCAUGCCCUGAGCAUGAGCUAAUGAAUUAUGGCAGCCCCUUAGAGGGCAUGCCUUAGCAACUGUGCACCCCGCCCCACCCUUUAUGACACCUGACCUUUAUUUACACAUUCUUUAUUAGGCUCCGCCUCCAGGGCUCUUCUGCUUUGAGCCAGGGCAGCCUUUUUCUACAGCCACUGGGUCACAGACCCAGGUGGCUCCAGAACCCCAGCAGCCCACUAGUGUGGGGUGGGGCUGGGGAGGUGGACUUUCCCAAGGAAGUAACAGGGCUGGUUUUUUUUUGGGGGGGGGUCUUCAGAGUUAUCUGGUUCUGGUUGCUAGCUUGAAGUUUCCUCCUCCAAGUUCAAAUCCAAGAGCUGUCUUUCCUCCCAUCAGGGCCCUAACUGGCCCUAUUAUGCUUAUUUAUUAUGGAAUGAGGCCAUUUCCUCUAAAGUCUCAGUAUCCUUGUUUUCAUAUUUGACAGUUCUGUUAGGUAGGGGCUACAAUGAAAUCAGUUCUUAGAAGAUUUCUGUAGAGACAUGGGCAAUUCAGUGUGGGUGUGAUGAUUAGAACAGAAAUCAAUAGCAGUUUACAUUGGCAUAGGAAAACUUCCUCCAUUCUACCCUGGCUCAGUACAGCUGCUAGCCUAGAAGUAACAAUGGCACUUUUUCGUGGUUUUACCCUGUGUGGCCCAUAGAGAAGAUACGUAAGAUGUUAAUGUCCGCAAAGCAUACUGCUGUGACCAGAACCCAACUGACUUCCUUCAGAGCCCUUUUCAUAAUCUAUUUUAUUAUGCACUGUCUGACACAGCUUCUACUAUGGAAACUCCAAGAGAGGUCUCUAUCUUAUUCCCAGUACCUAGCACAUGACUUGGCAUAUGGUAAUGAUUUUCAUAUUUUUAAAAUUUGAAAUGAUUAUUUGAGAGAGAGCUCUUAUGUACUGGAUUAUUUCCCAAAUACCUGCAAUGGCUGAGAUGGGGCCAGUCAAACCAGAAGUCAAGAACUCAAUCCAGCUUUGCCAUAUGGGUGGCAAGAACCCAACUACCCAAGCCGUUGCUGCUCUCAAAGUCUGCAUUAGAAGGAAGCUGGAGUUAGGAGCCAGAUCUGUAUGUUGAACCCCAGGACACACAUAAAAUAUCCGAAACAGAAUUUUUGCUCCUGAGCUGAGAGUGGACUGAAGAGAAGUGGAGUUGGGGACACUGAAGAGAUGAGGGUGCAGGCUGCAGAUCAUUGAAGAAAUGCUGUCAAGAAGAACAAGAAGCAUAAGAGGAUCUUGGUACAAAUACCACACCUGGCCCCUGUAACACCAGUUCUCACUUAGCCCAUGUGCAUGAUGAAGACAUGAAGAGACAGAAUACUCGGGGCUUGCCGUCUUCCUUGGUGCAUGUGAAAUCACAGCCUGGCAUAUGUUAAGUAGGAAUGUUCAUUGAUUCUCCCAGUGGAGCAGCAGGGGCCACUGGGAACCCAGCGCUCUACAGAACUGGCAUGUCCUGCGUUACUACUAGGGCCUGCAGGUGGCGCCCAAACGUGCUGUGGCCGUCCCACCUGGUGCGCAUGUGCAGGUUCCCUCUUAUGUCUUGCCUGCUGCUUUCUCUGUGAGGACUGGAGUGCCGUUUUCAUUGGGUGAGUGUUGAGGGGCCACUGCUGUACCUUGGGGCACUUUGAAGCUUCAUCCACAGAGAGGAAAAGGAGCCAGGCUGUGUAUCCCUGAGAGCUGAGAAGGGGCUUCAGGAGGCUUCUCCAGGACGCAUCUAGAAAACAGCGGUGGGUACACUCUCGUGUUCUGGACUGCUCUCGGGUGGGUUCUUCACUUCCCCACCUGAUGCUUUAGGAAAAUGCAUGAAAGCAUCUCUCAUGGAUGCAUCUAAUGUAUAGAGAUCAGACUACACUGUCCAGUUUCCCCAGAUUCAGGAUUGCGUGUGGGAGAUACGCCAGAGCACACAGAUAGACAUACACACACUCAGCAGGAAGAAUAUGGAGAGUGUGUCAGGAUUCCACGGUGCUGAGUUAGGCACGGGCCAGAGGA